rnacentral:tRNA from 1 species
GCCGGGGUUGCCGAGUGGUAAGGCGCGAGCCUGGAGAGCUCGUGGGCGCUAAGCCCGCGUGGGUUCGAAUCCCACCCCCGGCG